GUUGAACGCUGGCGGCGUGCCUAAUACAUGCAAGUCGAGCGAAGUGGGGACGGGUGAGUAAUACGUGGAUAACUUCCUAUAAGACUGGGAUAAUUUCGGGAACCCUAAGCCAUCCCCGUUACUUAUAGAUGGAUCCGCGCUGGAUUGGCUAGUUGGUACGGUAACGGCUUACCAAGGCUACGAUGCCUAGCCGACCUGAGAGGAUGACCGGCCACACUGGAACUGAGACACGGUCCAGACUCCUACGGGAGGCAGCAGUAGGGAAGCUUCCGCAAUGGGCGAAAGCCUGACGGAGCAACGCCGCGUGAGUGAUGAAGGUCUUCGGGUCGUAAAACUCUGUUAUUAGGGAAGCGGUACCUAAUCAGGAAGCCACGGCUAACUACGUGCCAGCCGCCGCGGUAAUAC
rnacentral:rRNA from 1 species